rnacentral:rRNA from 1 species
CCCUUAGAUGUCCUGGGCCGCACGCGCGCUACACUGAGUGUCUGAGAUACGAGUCUGCCUGGUCCGGCAAGGUCUAGGUAAUCGCUAAAAGACACAUCAUGCUUGGGAUAGAUUAUUGCAAAUACUAAUCUUGAACGAGGAAUUCCUAGUAAGCGCAAGUCAACAGCUUGCGUUGAUUACGUCCCUGCCCUUUGUACACACCGCCCGUCGCUACUACUGAUUGGAUGUUUAAGCGAGGUUCUCGAACUGCUAGCGACUUAGCUUCGGUGAGGUCGCAGUGUGGGAAGUGAACCUAGCUUUGGUGUCUAGAGGAAGUAAAAGUCGUAACA